rnacentral:rRNA from 1 species
UAGGGAAUCUUCGGCAAUGGACGAAAGUCUGACCGAGCAACGCCGCGUGAGUGAAGAAGGUUUUCGGAUCGUAAAACUCUGUUGUUAGAGAAGAACAAGGACGUUAGUAACUGAACGUCCCCUGACGGUAUCUAACCAGAAAGCCACGGCUAACUACGUGCCAGCAGCCGCGGUAAUACGUAGGUGGCAAGCGUUGUCCGGAUUUAUUGGGCGUAAAGCGAGCGCAGGCGGUUUCUUAAGUCUGAUGUGAAAGCCCCCGGCUCAACCGGGGAGGGUCAUUGGAAACUGGGAGACUUGAGUGCAGAAGAGGAGAGUGGAAUUCCAUGUGUAGCGGUGAAAUGCGUAGAUAUAUGGAGGAACACCAGUAGCGAAGGCGGCUCUCUGGUCUGUAACUGACGCUGAGGCUCGAAAGCGUGGUGAGCAAACAGG